UUUGCCAUUUCUGAUGUACCUUUUAUCGGUUAGAAUGCCCUUAAAAGGAAUUGCUUUCUGUCUAUCUUAGAACGAAACUUGCUGCAGUCCAAUAGGCGUGCAUUUUUGCUGCUUUAAGACAGACUGCAGGGCCUCUUCCUGUGGUUUGCACCAUGUGGCUUAAAAAGUGUUAAAAGGCAACAACUUCUUUGUCAUUUCUCUGUUGUUUCCGGGAUCAAGUAGGCAGAGAACCGAUUGAACAAAUUGCUGUAUAAUGAACAUUUGGACCACAUGGAGAGAGAGAGAGAGGAAGUACGACUGGAGCACAAAGAGAAGAGGCGGGAACUUCAGAGGUACAGUGCAGUCACUCAUAAAGUAGACAGCACUACUAAAGGUUUCUACACGGUGUAGUGUUUCCUACUUUAUGGAUGAGUGUACUGUUUGCUGCGAUGGACAAUCAUAAUCUUGUGGACCUCGACUGAUGCUGAAUAUUCUUGAAAUGUACUGAAAUGAAAUCAAUUUACUGUAUGAAAAAUGAAUAAAGAUUGUGAUUUAUGCUAUUGUGAUUAUUAUAUGUAUUGUGACUGUGCUCUGCUGAAUGACUGAUUGUAAUAAAACUAAUGAUUGUAAUGUUUUUUAUUUUACAAUCAAUCAAGUAUCUACAUGAAAACAUUAAUGUAUAUUGAACAACUUUUAAAUCAUAUGUGUAUUAUAUUGACAUUAAAAUGAAAGGAAAUAAGA